rnacentral:rRNA from 1 species
CUAAAAACACAGCCCUAUUUUUAACCUCAACAAUUCACUUAAGCCAAAAUAUUUUGUCAAUUAAGUAAAGAAGAUUAAAAAAUUAAUUAGAGCAACACACAUGUACCGCAAGGGAACACUGAAAUAAUAAUGAAAUAACAAUUAAGUUCAAAAAAGUAGAGCUCGGUCCUC